rnacentral:rRNA from 1 species
GAUGAACGCUGGCGGCGUGCCUAAUACAUGCAAGUCGAGCGAACAGACGAGGAGCUUGCUCCUCUGACGUUAGCGGCGUACGGGUGAGUAACACGUGGAUAACCUACCUAUAAGACUGGGAUAACUUCGGGAAACCGGAGCUAAUACCGGAUAAUAUAUUGAACCGCAUGGUUCAAUAGUGAAAGACGGUUUUGCUGUCACUUAUAGAUGGAUCCGCGCCGCAUUAGCUAGUUGGUAAGGUAACGGCUUACCAAGGCGACGAUGCGUAGCCGACCUGAGAGGGUGAUCGGCCACACUGGAACGGAGACACGGUCCAGACUCCUACGGGAGGCAGCAGUAGGGAAUCUUCCGCAAUGGGCGAAAGCCUGACGGAGAAAAGCCGCGUGAGUGAUGAAGGUAUUCGGAUCGUAAAACUCUGUUAUUAGGGAAGAACAAAUGUGUAAGUAACUAUGCACGUCUUGACGGUACCUAAUCAGAAAGCCACGGCUAACUACGUG